UACGGAGGGAGCUAGCGUUGCUCGGAAUUACUGGGCGUAAAGCGCACGUAGGCGGCUUUGUAAGUUAGAGGUGAAAGCCCGGGGCUCAACCCCGGAAUUGCCUUUAAGACUGCAUCGCUUGAAUCCGGGAGAGGUGAGUGGAAUUCCGAGUGUAGAGGUGAAAUUCGUAGAUAUUCGGAAGAACACCAGUGGCGAAGGCGGCUCACUGGACCGGUAUUGACGCUGAGGUGCGAAAGCGUGGGGAGCAAACAGG
rnacentral:rRNA from 1 species